CAGAGGGUGCGAGCGUUAAUCGGAUUUACUGGGCGUAAAGCGCGCGUAGGUGGUUAAUUAAGUCAAAUGUGAAAUCCCCGAGCUUAACUUGGGAAUUGCAUUCGAUACUGGUUAGCUAGAGUAUGGGAGAGGAUGGUAGAAUUCCAGGUGUAGCGGUGAAAUGCGUAGAGAUCUGGAGGAAUACCGAUGGCGAAGGCAGCCAUCUGGCCUAAUACUGACACUGAGGUGCGAAAGCAUGGGGGAGCAAAACAGGAUU
rnacentral:rRNA from 1 species